AAGGACGAAAAGCGGAGGCCGUAAUGGCCAACUGUCGAUACACCGCGCUUUCGUUUCGUUCGGUUUUGAGGGAAUGAAAAAUUCCUUCAAAAGCGCCUGUGCCUGCGUCUGCUAGCAGGUUCGGGGGAGCAAGAUUCCUCGGCACAAAGCUGCAAGGAGGAUUGCUCAAAGAAGCCGCUUUGCGUCUUCUAGCAGAUUCAAGGAAGAUGGAUUCCUCGGCGCAAAGCUGCAAGGAAGCAGACUCAAGGCAGUCGCUUCGUUCAGUUUUGAAGGAAUGAGAAAUUCCUUCAGUUGCUUUGCGUCUGCGUCUACAAGUGAAUUCAGAGAAGCUGGAUUCCUCGACGCAAGACUGCAGAGAAGUGAAUUCAAUGAAGUAGUCUCGUUCCUUGAAAACUAGAUAACCGGAAACGCAAAGGAAGAAGCCGAGAGCGCUGUA
rnacentral:misc_RNA from 1 species